AUAGCGGGAAUGAGGUUCUCCCGCGGCAAAUGCCGAAACCGCCCAAGGGCUGAUGACUUCUGCAAUC
rnacentral:ncRNA from 1 species